CCGAGGUCAACCUUAGAAAAUAAAGUUGGGUGUCGGCUGGCGCCGGCCGGGCCUACAGAGCAGGUGACAAAGCCCCAUACGCUCGAGGACCGGACGCGGUGCCGCCGCUGCCUUUCGGGCCCGUCCCCCGGGAGAGGGGGACGGGGGCCCAACACACAAGCCGUGCUUGAGGGCAGCAAUGACGCUCGGACAGGCAUGCCCCCCGGAAUACCAGGGGGCGCAAUGUGCGUUCAAAGACUCGAUGAUUCACUGAAUUCUGCAAUUCACAUUACUUAUCGCAUUUCGCUGCGUUCUUCAUCGAUGCCGGAACCAAGAGAUCCGUUGUUGAAAGUUUUAACUGAUUACGAUAAUCAACUCAGACUGCAUACUUUCAGAACAGCGUUCAUGUUGGGGUCUUCGGCGGGCGCGGGCCCGGGGGCGCAAGGCCUCCCCGGCGGCCGUCGAAACGGCGGGCCCGCCGAAGCAACAAGGUACGAUAGACACGGGUGGGAGGUUGGACCCAGAGGGCCCUCACUCGGUAAUGAUCCUUCCGCAGGUUCACCCUACGGAAG
rnacentral:misc_RNA from 1 species